rnacentral:rRNA from 1 species
AUACGGGGGAUGCAAGCGUUAUUCGGAAUCAUAGGGCGUAAAGGGCACGCAGGCGGUUCUGUCAGUCAGAUGUGAGAGCCCGGGGCUUAACCCCGGACGUGCAUUUGAAACAGCAGGACUUGAGUAUGGUAGAGGAAAGCGGAAUUCCUGGUGUAGAGGUGAAAUUCGUAGAUAUCAGGAGGAACACCGGUGGCGAAGGCGGCUUUCUGGACCAAAACUGACGCUGAGGUGCGAAGGCGUGGGUAGCGAACAGGAUUAGAAACCCCGGUAGUCC